CUCACCAGUCUAUGGUGGUAGUUCUCACUGACGGGCUAGAAAAAGGUUAGUCAUUCUGUGUUCCAUAGCUAAAAGGGCCAUUGUUAGUAACGAUGAGUCCCAGAGGAGUGAAAUUCAAAAAUAGAAACGCUCUCCAUUUAUUCAAUUACUUUUAUUGCAAGUCUGUUGGUGACAACCUUCCCCUGGACACUCCCAGGCAGAUUCUGGGGAAACGAGAGAAGGAAAUGCCCAGGUCCUGGCGGCAGAGCAGAGUUCAGAGUGGCUGAGUCAGGACGAAUGUCUAGUCCAUGAGAUUCAUCUCCGCAUGAAGCUACAGACGACAGCUUCGCUGUACUCACACGGAGAGAGCGUACCUGGAAAUAAUGCCAACAUAAAGGAAAAGAAAGCCAAGAAAUGGAGAAUGGUGUGCUCCUGCUAACUGCAUUUACACCCUGGAUCCAGCUAUGCCUGAAGUCAGCAGUAAAUUUGGAU